rnacentral:rRNA from 1 species
AUUGAACGCUGGCGGCAUGAUUUACACAUGCAAGUCGAACGGUAACAGGCCGCAAGGUGCCGACGAGUGGCGAACGGGUGAGUAAUGCAUCGGAACGUGCCCAGUCGUGGGGGAUAACUACUCGAAAGAGUAGCUAGUACCGCAUACGAUCUAUGGAUGAAAGCGGGGGACCGUAAGGCCUCGCGCGAUUGGAGCGGCCGAUGUCAGAUUAGGUAGUUGGUGGGGUAAAGGCUCACCAAGCCAACGAUCUGUAGCUGGUCUGAGAGGACGACCAGCCACACUGGGACUGAGACACGGCCCAGACUCCUACGGGAGGCAGCAGUGGGGAAUUUUGGACAAUGGGCGCAAGCCUGAUCCAGCAAUGCCGCGUGCAGGAAGAAGGCCUUCGGGUUGUAAACUGCUUUUGUACGGAACGAAACGGCUCUGGUUAAUACCCGGGGCUAAUGACGGUACCGUAAGAAUAAGCACCGGCUAACUACGUG